rnacentral:rRNA from 1 species
CCUACGGGGCGCAGCAGUGGGGAAUAUUGGACAAUGGGGGGAACCCUGAUCCAGCGACGCCGCGUGAGUGAAGAAGGUCUUCGGAUCGUAAAACCCUGUUGUUAGAGAAGAAAGUGCGUGAGAGUAACUGUUCACGUUUCGACGGUAUCUAACCAGAAAGCCACGGCUAACUACGUGCCAGCAGCCGCGGUAAUACGUAGGUGGCAAGCGUUAUCCGGAUUUAUUGGGCGUAAAGGGAACGCAGGCGGUCUUUUAAGUCUGAUGUGAAAGCCUUCGGCUUAACCGGAGUAGUGCAUUGGAAACUG